rnacentral:rRNA from 1 species
GUCUUUUAGAAAUUUAAUUUAAAGUCUAGCCUGCCCACUGAAUUUUUUUUUAAAUGGCCGCAGUAUCCUAACUGUGCAAAGGUAGCAUAAUCAUUAGUCUUUUAAUUGAAGGCUGGAAUGAAUGGUUGGAUGAAAUAUUAACUGUUUCAUAAAAAUUUAUAAUAGAAUUUUAUUUUUUAGUCAAAAAGCUAAAAUAUUUUUAAAAGACGAGAAGACCCUAUAAAUCUUUAUAUUUAGAAAAAUACAAUUAUUUAGAUAAUUUUAAUUUUAUUUUUUAUAAAUAUUUUAUUGGGGUGAUAUUAAAAUUUAAUAAACUUUUAAUUUAUUAUAAACAUAAAUUAAUGAAUUAUUGAUCCAUAAAUUAUGAUUAAAAAAUUAAGUUACUUUAGGGAUAACAGCGUAAUUUUUUUAGAGAGUUCAUAUUGAUAAAAAAGAUUGCGACCUCGAUGUUGGAUUAAGAUACAGUUUUAGGUGCAGCAGCUUAAACUUAAAGUCUGUUCGACUUUUAAAUUCUUACAUGAUCUGAGUUC